GUUUGAUCCUGGCUCAGGAUGAACGCUAGCGGCAGGCUUAAUACAUGCAAGUCGAACGGGAUUCGGGGUAGCAAUACUUUGAUGAGAGUGGCGCACGGGUGCGUAACGCGUAUGCAACCUACCUUUAACAGGGGAAUAGCCCCGAGAAAUCGGGAUUAAUACUCCGUAACAUUGCGGUGUGGCAUCACACUGCACUUAAAGCUGAGGCGGUUAAAGAUGGGCAUGCGUGACAUUAGCUAGUUGGUGAGGUAACGGCUCACCAAGGCAACGAUGUCUAGGGGUCCUGAGAGGGUUAUCCCCCACACUGGUACUGAGACACGGACCAGACUCCUACGGGAGGCAGCAGUAAGGAAUAUUGGUCAAUGGGCGCAAGCCUGAACCAGCCAUGCCGCGUGCAGGAAGACGGCCCUAUGGGUUGUAAACUGCUUUUGUCAGGGAAUAAACCCCCGCUCGUGAGCGGGGCUGAAGGUACCUGAAGAAUAAGCAUCGGCUAACUCCGUGCCAGCAGCCGCGGUAAUACGGAGGAUGCAAGCGUUAUCCGGAUUCAUUGGGUUUAAAGGGUGCGCAGGCGGAUUGGUAAGUCAGGGGUGAAAUCCCACAGCUCAACUGUGGAACUGCCUUUGAUACUGUCAGUCUAGAGUAUAGUUGAAGUUGGCGGAAUGUGUCAUGUAGCGGUGAAAUGCUUAGAUAUGACACAGAACACCGAUCGCGAAGGCAGCUAGCUAAGCUAUAACUGACGCUCAUGCACGAAAGCGUGGGGAUCAAACAGGAUUAGAUACCCUGGUAGUCCACGCUGUAAACGAUGAUUACUCGAUGUUGGCGAUACACAGUCAGCGUCUGAGCGAAAGCAAUAAGUAAUCCACCUGGGGAGUACGAUCGCAAGAUUGAAACUCAAAGGAAUUGACGGGGGCCCGCACAAGCGGA
rnacentral:rRNA from 1 species